GUGGCUGUGGCUCAGUGAUAGAGCACUCACCUGGCAUGUGUGAGGCACUGGGUUCUAUUCUCAGCACCACA
rnacentral:tRNA from 1 species